CGAUGUUCAUCGAUUAUACAUAUUUGUGUUUCGAUAUUUUAUUACUUCAAUAAAGUCGAAGAAAAUGUCGAAGAAAUCUCACCUCUAAAAAUAAAAGUUGUCCCAUCCCCACCAAUUGAAAGAUGGAAUAAAAUAUACACAAAUAGCGUUACGAUUCAUUCAUUAGUAAACAUAAAAAGAAGAGCAAACUAUGCAGACAGGAACUGCAGUCGGCGAAAAAAGCGACAACAUCAUCUCUGCAUCCGCAGAUUGGCACCAUUGGUGUCGACUUUGCGCGAAGAUUGAUAUACAUAGUAAAAAUAUUUUCUAUGAACAUCAACCACUAAUGACUUAUACUGUUGAAAAAAGUGAUGAUAAGAGAUGUACAAUGGCCGUCGCAAUCGGAAAAUAUUUUUGUGUGCAAAUUAAAGGCGAUGAUGAUCUGCCCAAACUAUUAUGCACAGAGUGCAUUUCAUUGGUAACAACCCUUUUAGAUUUCAAUGAACGUGUAAUUAAAGUGCAAGAAAUGUAUGCUGAGCUGCAAAGUACACAGUUCGGUAAUGAUGUAGACUUUCAGUCUAUUCGACUAAAAUACGGAAUUUUGAAGGAAGAUCCAGCUCAGAUAUAUAUGAACCAAUAUGGGGAAGAUUGUUUUACUGAGAAGUUUGACCAAGCAAGUAUAGCAGACAUACACAAUUUUGAAAUCAAAUUAAUAAAAGAAAUUCCAAGUGAUGAUAUUCAACCCGAUGAGGUUAGUCAUGCACUUGAAUAUGAAGGCACGGAAGGUGAAGAUCCUUUUGCUAGCGGAGUUAUCGUUGAGACCGCUGAGCACCAGACUCUUCGUGCAAUAAAAGAUUAUGACGGAGAAAAUAAUGAUAGUAAACAUUCUGAUUUCAUACCUUUAAAUGAUCAGAAUAAGUUAAAGUUAACGGAUAAUAAGCGUAAACGGUCUGACAAAAGUAACUUUGGCAAAAAAUUAGAAAAGUGUAUUACUGGCACCGAGGAAAAGUCAACUGAUGACAAAAACUUUUGUAGCAACUGCUUACUUCAUUUUCAACGUCCUGGCAAUUUUCGUAUGCACAUGAAAAAAAGACAUGGCAUCGUUUAUGAAUUAGAUCCUUUGGCAUGUCCUCAAUGUCAUAAAUCUUUCAAUACGGAAUUCAAACUAAAUCAUCAUAUAAAAACGCAUCAGUCACUAUCGGAAAAGCGAAUAUUUCCAUGCCCACAAUGUGACCGAAAAUUUCAGACAAAAGGUUCUGUAACCACACAUAUAAAGUUUGUUCAUGAAGACAUUCGUCCAUUUAUUUGUGAAGAAUGUGGUAAAGGUACACGAACGGAAGCUGCACUACGAGAACAUAUGCUUAUGCACACUGGUUUGGCAUCCUUUGAAUGUGAAAUAUGUAACAAAAGUUUUAAAAAUCAGUUGCGUCUGAGGGUUCAUUUGCAGAUACACAGUUCCAGUAAGCACAUCUGCAGCGUAUGUGGCUUGCAACUAAAUUCACGUGUAACGUUAAAUCGUCAUAUGCUCGUACAUUCUGAUAUUAAGCCCCACAAAUGUGAUUAUUGUGGGCAAACAUUUAAGCGAUCCAAAACACUAAAAAGUCAUUUAAUACUCCACAGUGGACUAAAACCGUAUACAUGUAAGUUUUGUGAUAGGACAUUUACUAAUGCCUCCAACUGCCGAUCUCAUAAAAAAAAAUCGCAUCCGGAUGAACUAGCUGCUUUAGAGGCUUCAGGAGAAAAAACGUACACGAAAAAUGUACCCAUAUUGGCCGUAUUAAAAACUGUAGCACAAACGUCUGAAAAUCUUGUUCCUGUGGUCUCCAAACAGAGAACUGGGGGCACAAAAUAUUCCAAUUCGUCGGCUGCGCAAGAUACAUUAAUUGAAAUAGAUAAAACUUUGAAAGAGAACAGUUGAAACGAUGGCAACCAUUUAACGUUUUUGGAAAGCGAAAAAAAUAUUUUUUUUCUGUAAAGUAAUUUGAAUAAAUCACAUCUAUAAGUUGCAGGAACUUAUUACCACAAAUGUGGAGAAAACGGAAUAACUCAGAGAGCUUUUAAGAUACUCGGAUUUAUAACUAGGAAUAGUAAGGACUUCAAGAAUCCCUACUCCCUGAUUUGUCUUUUCAAAACUCAAGUUCUUCCAAUACUGGGGUAUGGAUCCAUAAUCUGGUAUCCAUACACUGAAGCAGGCAUUACUAGACUUGAAAGAGUGCAGCGUAAGCUCUGCAAGACUUUAGCCUUCCGACAUUCAUCAUCGACCGUUUCAGCUACAGAAGAUAUCUACACUCAGUACAACAUCAACAGUCUGCGGGCUCGCCGUCGCAUAACUGAUCUGGCGUUCUUCUAUAAAGUGGUUAAUGGUAUUAUUGAUGCCCCGGAAGUACGCAGCUCCUUCGAGCUUGCCCCGGCUGGUCUCACUCUUAGGAAUAGUCGUCUACUGAAAACAGUCGCUACUUGCAAAAGCUACGUCUAUCACGGCCCGUGCAAUAGAAUAGCCAUCAGCGUCAACUCACUUCAUGGUGUUCUCGAUUUCUAUGGUGGAACCUACGAUACUUUUCUGCGAAAUGCCAAAAAUAUCAUCCUAUAGAUUUUUCUCAAGAACCGUCUGUCCCAUAUUCUUUAUCAUUGUAUUACUUACCAGCCCCCUAUAAAUUCUGAUUCUGUACCCUCUUUUUAUUUGUAUGUAUAUUGCCGA